AGGGUUCGAUUCUGGCUCAGGAUGAACGCUAGCUACAGGCUUAACACAUGCAAGUCGAGGGGCAUCAGAUCGAAAGCUUGCUUUGAUGCUGGCGACCGGCGCACGGGUGAGUAACGCGUAUCCAACCUUCCCUAUAGUAGAGAAUAGCCCGGCGAAAGUCGGAUUAAUGCUCUAUGUUGUAUUUAGAAGACAUCUGAAGAAUACCAAAGGUUUACCGCUAUAGGAUGGGGAUGCGUCUGAUUAGGUAGUAGGCGGGGUAACGGCCCACCUAGCCGACGAUCAGUAGGGGUUCUGAGAGGAAGGUCCCCCACAUUGGAACUGAGACACGGUCCAAACUCCUACGGGAGGCAGCAGUGAGGAAUAUUGGUCAAUGGACGGAAGUCUGAACCAGCCAAGUUAAGCGUGCAGGAUGACGGCCCUAUGGGUUGUAAACUGCUUUUAUAUAGGGAUAAAGUCGGGGACGUGUCCCCGUUUGUAGGUACUAUAUGAAUAAGGACCGGCUAAUUCCGUGCCAGCCGCGGC
rnacentral:rRNA from 1 species